UGGGAUUUCUCCAUAAUAUCAUUUAGUUUAUAGGCCUAAGGCAUAAGGAGUAGUGAAAUAAGUAGUUGGGUUUGGUUAUAUCCUGUUUCUGUUCCUUGCUGAUUUCUGGAGCAGUCUGCAAUAAUAUUGGUAUAUCUCAAGUUCUCAUCGUGAAAAGUUUGUCACCUUUUUCUGGGAACAACUAGAUUUCAAGAUCUUUGUCUGACCUCAAGAAUCACCCCAAUAGCUAUUCUGGAAUUGGAGUUAUGAAAAUCACAAGUUGAUGCAGUUGCGCUGUCCAGAAUCUGGACCAGUUUUGGGAACAUGCUGUUUGAGACAAAUAUAACUAUAGAAUUGGGAAAAGUGUUCUAUAGAAACGUUAUAGAAAAUUUGCUAAGAUUUCCAAAGGUAUAAGCUGGAACUUAUUUGGAUAAUGAGAACCUGAGAUAUGAUAUUUACAAUUGGAUGUUUGUGUUCUGUAUCAAAGUCUGGACAGUUUGGGUAUUCCCUAUUUUCAGCCAAGUUAAAUUUAGAAUCUGGGAAAAAGUUGUAUACUAAAGUUUUAGAGGAUUUCAUAAGCUUUUCAACAAUAUAAGGAUCGUCUCCAUAUGAUUUAUGUAGCUCGAGAUAUGACAGCUGCAAGUUACUGCAUAGGUGCUGAGACACUGUCAGGAGGAAUAUUAUGUAUGGCUGUUUUACCUAAGUUUCAAGACAGAACCUAAGGAAGUCUUCUAUAUGAAAGUUGUGGUGAAUUUCAUAAGUUUUCUAACGAUAUAAGCUACAACUCUAUUGGAUUCACAGAAUAAGGGUUAUGUCUGUUUUACUACGCUGGUGUUUUCAUAUCACAAGAAAAUUUCAGGAUACUUGUUUGUUCUCUUGCACAUAAGUUCAUUGGGAUGUCAGAAGGUCUUAAUGCUAGUCAACUUGACUGGAAAAAAGUGCAAGCUACCUUCCUUGUGUCCCCUAGUUGACCUUUCUUAAGAGGGUAGUCUUAUCAAAGGAGUUACAGGGAGAAGUAAUGGUUAACAUUGGAUCAUCGAUAAAGACCUCAAGUGUUUGGAAAAUUUGGUUUGAUACAGGAAAUUGUUCCAUUGAAGUGUGAUAAUAUGGAUGGAGGUAUAGGUCAUUGCUGGUACUCAUAGCUUGGAAGUGGUGCUUAUGAGAAUCAGGUGACACCAAAGGCUACAAAGUUAUACAUGGAAUAUGAGAGCUAGUCCAUACUGUGCCCCGACCUAUCUCAUCUUAUGGGGUAGUACCUUGAUAUGAUAGAUUAAUGCCCUUUCAAUUUACCAUGAAGAGAGAAGUUGUCUCUGGAGAUAUCCCAUGAUUAUAAUCUAUCCUGGCUCAAGUUAGUGAAAUUGGUCACUUGACAACUUAGGAAGUGGAUAUGCUACAUCUACUGUUGGUUCUACGGAGACUCAAAAGACUUCAUUGCUAAAGAGAGCAUGACCAGUUUGUUCUAGUUGAUGGAAGUUCUCAUCUAGGAGAUGUCAUCUUUAAUGAUGGACUUAAGAAAGUUAAAAAUGCAAGAGUUGGAAACCACCAAAGGAAAUUGAAUGAGACUUAGAGUUUUAUAGAUAUGGCAAGAGGCUAUCAUAGGUUUGCUGGGGCCAAAGUGAUCUUGACAUAAGAGUGAAUAAGAGAUUGACUUGGAAUGAUAAGAUUCUAUCAGUGGUUCACUGAAGGUGUUGUAAAGAUUGGUAAAUAGAGUUCCUCUAUUCCAUCGAGACCUUAGAUGUGCUCCAUACAAGAAAAGUAGUGGCUGGUGCAUAAGUCAACUAAGUGGGUUGGAUUAACUGACAUGAUGUGGAGGUAUCCAUAGUGGAGCAUGGAGAUACUAUCUUCUUGGUUAUAAGAGUGAUAUCUACGUAGAAUGUAAGAGACUAAAGGGCAUCUUUAGGAAGUUGGAUUUGAGCUGGUCACAUCAUUGAUGGAUUUGAGUGAAUCAAGAGUUAUGACUAGGAAAAGUGAUAUCACUUGAAUGAGAAAAAAAGCCUUUACGAAUGCUCAGAGCAUAAAAGGUGUGCUAGAGGAGUUCAAAUAACACCAAGUUUUGAGGAGUUCAGUGUUGAACUAGAGUGAUGUCACUAGUACUGCCAAAGGAGCUCUAUUAAUUACUCAUUUGAGAACCACAGGAACUGAAAAGAUUACUUAGAAGAUAUGUUGUGAGCUUGUGUAUUGCAGUAUGGUACAAAGAGUUUACCGUAUGCGAAGUUUUCUUAGAACAACAGUUAGAGCCUUCGGUGGGAGCCUUUUGAAAGCUUGCAUGGAUGUAAGUGUAGAACCCUAUUGAUUUGGAAUCAAACGUGAGAACACAAGUGUUUGGGCUAGAUGUUCUAAGAGAUGCAGAACUGCAAGAGUGUUCACGGAUGACUUUAAGGGUGGCACAGUCUCAACAGAAGAUAUAUGCUGACAACCGGAGAAAAGAAUAAGCUUUUGAAGUAGAAGACUAUAUGUAUUUGAAGGUGUCACCUAUGAGAAGUGUGAGAAGAUUUAAUAUGAAGGAAUGGUUAGCACCAAGGUAUAUCUGGCCUUUCAAAGUGUUAGAAAGAUGGGGUGAAGUGGCUAUUAGAGCAUCUGAAAGUUUGGGAGGAAUGCAUGAUGUUUUCCAUGUGUCUUAACUCAAGAAGUGUUUGUGUGUGCCAUAAUAGCAGAUAUCGUUAGAAGAAUUGACUAUUAAAGGGGAUCUUACUUAUGAAGAAUAUCCGGUAAAAAUUUUGGAAAUAGCAGAAAGAGUUACAGGAAGUCGAGUAGUCAAGAUGUGUAAAGUUCAAUGGAAUCGAUAUUACCGAAGAAGAGGCUAAUUGGGAAAGAGAAGAGGAUCUAAGAAAAACAUACCCGCAGUGGUUUGAGUAAGCACCAACUGAAUCUCGAGGACGAGAUUCAUCUUAAGAGGGGUAGAAUUGUAACACUCUAAAAUUUGCUCCUUUGAAGUAGAGUUUAAAAAAAUUAAUUAUGUAUUUUUUGUGUUCAUGAAAAUGUAGGAAAAAUAAUAUUUUUUAAAUUAAAAUUUAUCAUAAGGCUUAGCAAUAUUGUUGUGCAUACAUGCUGGUGCAUAAGAUUUAAUGUAAUGUUUGCUUGAUGCUCCUUCGUGUGUUGUGAGUGAGCAAAGUUUUAAAAAUACGUUUAGUAGAACGAUCGUCCUUGACCAGUACGUCUUUAUCUUUAUCCACAAUCAAAUUCUUUAUUUCUCAGCUCAAGUUUUUAUUAUGAGCUUCCUAAAAUCUUUUCUUUGUCACCUAAAUUCCUUCUUUUAGUUUCUCGUUCAUCAAGCACUAUCUGCGAUCUUCUUGGUAAUUUUCCAGCUUUUUGCUGGAACUUGUUCCCACUGCUGUGAGCAUAAUCUAGAUGCUCCAUAUUAUCUUAUCAGGCGCUCCAAAUACUUUAUUUGAGUUCCUCAUGUUCUAUAAUGUCUCUGAGAAUUUUCUCCGAAUUUUCAGAGCUUUCGGAAUAUUUUUCAUAGCUUAAAUAAUAAUUCUAGAUUUUUUUGGAAUUAUUUUAUCCAUGAAAUUAAAUAAUUCCGAAAAUAAUAAAUCUCUAUUCUUUUUCCAAUGCUCAAGGCCCAUGUCUUUAAUUACUAAUGGGUUUUAAUAAUUAAUUAGACCUAUUAGUAAAGAUGGAGGUUACAACAUCAAUUAGUACCAUAUUGCUAGUUGAUGUAAUUGUAGAGAGUUUUUCUCCCUAUAUAUGUGUACCAAUCCCUGGGGCAAUGUACACCAAAACUACAUGAAAAAGAUCUUCUAGUCUGGAAAUUGCCUUGAGGCCAUCGUUGACACGCUUCUUGGCUGAACACCGCACGUAGCUCAGCCCUGGUCCAGCUUCAUCCUCCAGGCUGCACCAGCCGCACCUCAUCUAGGUCCAGCCCCGCACUGCAUGCAAGCCGGGCAUGCAUGAGGAUCGAUCAAGUAGGACAGCUUUUGGCUAUGGAAAGCACCAUCGGCAUUGUUCCAUCGAGAGGAGCGGCGGCCUCACAGCUCAUUUACAUCGGGACGAGGAGCUAGGGUCAAGGACAAUCUGGACUAGGAGCAAGGAGUUAAGAAAGGCUGAUGGCUUCACGUCACCCUCUAUGAUUGCUAGAAGAUGGAGAUGUUGUCAGAUCACGAGAAGCAUCACGACAUGAAUAAGUCACGCGCUUACAUCUAAGCGAUCAAGGAGGGCAAUCACGCACCCGUAGGGUGGCCAUACGAGCGGAACAGAUGUGAACAGACAGGCCGCUGGUGCCAUGACGCCCGGUGUCCACAACACAAAAGCUGAAGGCACUUGCGGACUAAAGUCGGUGAGAUAUACGUGCGACUCAGAAGUAGAUCUUUGAAGGUUUGGACUUGAAGAAGGAUCUGAGUUUAAGGCAAGUAUAGCAUGGGAUCAUCCUUGUUUCCUAUUAACUUUAAUCACACAAUUCAUAUUGCAUGUGUCUCCUUGAUAAGGAUUUCCUAGUAUUGAUCUUAUACCUUGUCACCUACGGUUUUGCAUUGGGUAGCUUAUGCUAGUGCUCCACUAAACCAUGAUCUUGUAAUUUGAUUAAAGGAAUAUGCAAUGAACAUUAAAAGAUUACUUUUUUGGCAACUUUGGAAAAGAGGGCUGGAGCAUUGGGCUAUCUUAUGGUGCUCUAGUUUCUCUCCAUAAGGACUUAUCUGUAUCUGACCAUCCGGGACAUACAGUACAACUGUGAGGGCUACAUGGCUCUG